UUAAAACUUUCAACAACGGAUCUCUUGGUUC
rnacentral:rRNA from 1 species